CUAGGAGUUCCCGUCGUGGCGCAGUGGUUAAUGAAUCCGACUAGGAACCAUGAGGUUGAGGGUUCAAUCCCUGCCCUUGCUCAGUGGGUUAACGAUCCAGCGUUGCUGUGAGUUGUGGUGUAGGUCGCAGACGCGGCUCGGAUCCCAUGUUGCUGUGGCUCUGGCGUAGGCUGGCAGCUACAGCUCCAAUUCAACCCCUAGCCUGGGAACCUCCAUAUACCGAGGGAGUGGCCCAAGAAAUGGCAAAAAGACAAAAAAAAAGANCCUCUAGAGUUCCCUGGUGGUUCAGUGGGUUAAGGACCCAGCGAUAUCACUGCAGUGGCUCAGGUCAGUGUUGUGGUGAAGGUUUGAUCCCUGGACCAGGAACUUCCACAUGCAAUGGGCAAGGGUCCCCCCUGCCCCCCAAAAAAGUGCCACUUUGAGCAUGGGGCAGGAAGUAGACCAAAUGGGGAAUGAAGGCAGAAGCAGGGAGGCCACUGCAGUAAUCCAGCUAGAUAAUUAUGAUGGCCCUGACCAAAUCACUGUUAAACUGGUGAAAAGUGAUCAGAUUCUGUAUAUAUUUUGAAGAGCCAAGAGAAUUUGCUGAUGUUUUGGAUACAGGGUUUGAGAAGAAAAAAGAGGAGUCAAAGAUAACUCCCAGGUUUCUGACCAGAGCAGCUGGAAAGAUGACUCUUCCAUUUUCUUUUUUUCUUUUACUUACUUAUUUAUUUAUUCAUUUAUUUAUUUUGGCUGUUCCCACAGCAGGCAGAAGUUCCCAGGCCAGAAGUAACCAGAGCCACAGCAGUGACAGCGCUGGAACCUUAAACCACUGAGCCACAAGGAAACUCCUCCAUUUUCUUAGAUGGAGAAAACUUCAGAAAGAGCAGGUUGAAAAAGGAGGAGCAGAAACUCACUUGGGAACAUACUAAAUUUGAGACCAGCAUUAGACAUCCAAGAGGCGCUCUUAAGUAACCAGCUGCAUAUAUAAGUCUAGAGAGCUCAGGGAGAGGUCUAAGCUGGAGAGGAAUACUGGGGCGUCUUCUAUUCUCCACAUGGUACUUAAAUCCAUGAGCCUGGAAAAGAUCACUACAGAAGUGGAGUCAGAGAAGAGGUCUAGGAGGUGAGAACUGGACACUCAACACGAAGAACACAGGGAGGUGAGGAAGAACUAGCCAAGGAGACUGGGAGGAGCAUCCACAGGAUGAGAGUCGAGUUGAGAGAGUGCAUAAUGCUUGGAAACCAAGAGAAGAAAGAAUUUCAAGGCAGAAAGAGCAAUCCGCUAUCAAACCGAUCUUUGAUGUUGACUUCAAAUGCUCCAAACGGGUCAAAUAAGACAAGGAUGGAAAAUGACAAGGAGGUCACAGUGACCUUGAUGCAUUCAGGGUAAGUAA
rnacentral:lncRNA from 1 species